CCCAGAAGCUCCUUCCCCAGCUUGAGAGACGCCAGCGGACGCAAAUGGGAGCCAGGGCCCCAUCUGUCACUUCCGGCUAUGGGGACGAUUCAUCAUCUGUAAGAUAAGCAGUUGUGAUCAUCUAUCCUCUGAGCUUAGUGCAGAGCAAGCACUCAGGAGAUACCAGUACUACUAUACUUCAUCAGCAAAGGACUGUUGUGAGGAUUAACUAUGAUAAGAGAAGCAAUGGCCAGAGCCUCGCUUUUAACGGAAUGGGGAGAAAUCAGAACCCAGCUGCUGUGGGCGGAGCAGCGUGAGGAUCCAU